GAUGAACGCUAGCGGGAGGCUUAACACAUGCAAGUCGAGGGGCAGCACGAGGUAGCAAUACCUUGGUGGCGACCGGCAGACGGGUGAGUAACGCGUAUGUAACCUACCCUGUACUGGGGGAUAACCCGGAGAAAUUCGGACUAAUACCCCAUAGAAAUAUAGAGAGGCAUCUUGAAAUAUUUAAAGUUUCGACGGUACGGGAUGGGCAUGCGUAACAUUAGCUAGUUGGUAAGGUAACGGCUUACCAAGGCUUUGAUGUUUAGGGGUCCUGAGAGGGUGAUCCCCCACACUGGUACUGAGACACGGACCAGAAUCCUACGGGAGGCAGCAGUGAGGAAUAUAGGUCAAUGGGCGAAAGCCUGAACCAGCCAUCCCGCGUGCAGGAAGACGGCCCUAUGGGUUGUAAACUGCUUUUCCAGGAGGAGAAACUCUCGUACGUGAUACGGGAUUGACGGUACCCUGGGAAUAAGCAUCGGCUAACUCCGUGCCAGCCGCCGCGGUAAGAC
rnacentral:rRNA from 1 species